UUUGAGGCCACCUGCAUCAUAAAGAGUAGCUGUAGUAUUUCUAAUGACUGAUUUCAUGGUCCAAUUUUUAAAUCCAACAUGUGAGGGAGAAAACAUUAAACUCCCCAUGCCGUAGUUUCUCCAAAUGUGAAAGGAGGUGGCAAUGACACUUACCUAUAUAAUGUUAUUGUGUGGAUGAAAUGAGGUAACAUCUAUAAAAUUUAGUAUGGUGAUGAUGACUCCUUAAGAAUUCACUUAAUGUUAACUAUUUUUAGUAAGAUACAAAGAUAACCCGUUAAAAUAUGAGUUUGAAAGAAUGGCUUAGUUUAUUUAAAUUAAUAACUAAUUUUAAAAGUAGAGAACUUAAAAACCCAAAAGUUAUAAAUAAAAGGGAUAUCUACUUUAAAAGUACAUUUAUUGGCAUCACAAAGGUUUUUUUUUUUUUUUAAGAUUUUAUCUAUUUAUUCAUGAGGGACACAGAGAGAAAGGCAGAGACAUAGGCAGAGGAAGAAGCAGGCUCCCUGUGGGGGGCCCAAUGCUAGCCUCCAUCCCAGUACUCCAGGAUCCUGCCCUGAGCCAAAGGCAGACGCUCAACCACUGAGACACGUAGGUGUCCCACAAAGGUUUUACAGCAUAUUGAUUCAGCAUUUAAGAAACUGAACUGAAAAACAAAGGAUAUCUUAAAAAGUCCAACAUUCCUUGGUGAUAUCAAGUGACUGGGACUAAGGAGCAGCUGCUCAUCACAGUUAGGAUGUGUUUUUACUGUUUUCACUUGUUCCAAACCACUGCUUGCUGUUUUUGGUUUUUUUGUUUUGUUUUGUUUUUGUUUUUUUUUCCUAUUACUGAGUUUCUUCAUUUAUUUUUCAUUACUGGCCAGACCCAGUUAUUUUUUAAAUUUACCAUUUCUAGUGAAUCUAAUACUCAAGAUUCUACCAAGUUAAAGACCUGUAUGUGACCAGGAAGGGAAAAUAAACACAAAGUAUAUCCUAAAAGGAGGAGCAUGAGUACGGAAAACUUGAAGCUACCUUUAUUUUUGAAAACAGCAUCCUCAGAGCUUUUGGUUGAUCCAUAUACUCAUUCUCAAAAUAUGAGGAAUACAGAAAACUCCUGCUAUGGCAACUCAAAUCUUGUGAAUGGUCUGCAAGAGAGCUCCUUGGUGAAGAGUGGCAUGCCCAAUACCAUGGGAGACUGUUCACUGAUUAUCUGCUGAACCCUGAAAGCAUAUUUGAAUUAGCCCUCAAAAUGUAUUGCACAGAAUAUGUGUUUCCUGUUCAUAAAAAGCUUUGAUAUCCAAGAGGGAACUACUACCUAUACCACAUAAUGAAACACUUUUGCCCAUUUUCUCCUCACUGGGCUCAUUCUACAACUUGCCUGAAUGAGUAAGGUACCCCACCAGAGCUGUGGGUUAGAGAAAGGAAGACAAAAAAAAAAAAAAGAAUAAGAGAAGUAGAAGAAUAGAUCAUGCUCUCAUACCUUUCCCUGUGAAUGAUGCUAAACCAUGGUUCUGAUGUGAGCCCAGAAUAAAAUAAAU
rnacentral:lncRNA from 1 species